GAUGAACGCUGGCGGCGUGCCUAAUACAUGCAAGUCGAGCGAACAGACGAGGAGCUUGCUCCUCUGACGUUAGCGGCGGACGGGUGAGUAACACGUGGAUAACCUACCUAUAAGACUGGGAUAACUUCGGGAAACCGGAGCUAAUACCGGAUAAUAUAUUGAACCGCAUGGUUCAAUAGUGAAAGACGGUUUUGCUGUCACUUAUAGAUGGAUCCGCGCCGCAUUAGCUAGUUGGUAAGGUAACGGCUUACCAAGGCAACGAUGCGUAGCCGACCUGAGAGGGUGGUAGGCCACACUGGAACUGAGACACGGGCCAGACUCCUACGGGAGGGAGCAGUAGGGAAUCGUCCGCAAUGGGCGGAAGCCUGAAGGAGCAACGCCGCGUGAGUGAUGAAGGGCUUCGGAUCGUAAAAAUCUGUUAUUAGGGAAGAACAAAAGUGUAAGUAACUAUGGACGUCUUGACGGUACCUAAUCAGAAAGCCACGGCUAACUACGUGC
rnacentral:rRNA from 1 species